rnacentral:rRNA from 1 species
GACGAACGCUGGCGGCGUGCCUAAUACAUGCAAGUUGAGCGAUGAAGAUUGGUGCUUGCACCAAUUUGAAGAGCAGCGAACGGGUGAGUAACGCGUGGGGAAUCUGCCUUUGAGCGGGGGACAACAUUUGGAAACGAAUGCUAAUACCGCAUAACAACUUUAAACAUAAGAUUUAAGUUUGAAAGAUGCAAUUGCAUCACUCAAAGAUGAUCCCGCGUUGUAUUAGCUAGUUGGUGAGGUAAAGGCUCACCAAGGCGAUGAUACAUAGCCGACCUGAGAGGGUGAUCGGCCACAUUGGGACUGAGACACGGCCCAAACUCCUACGGGAGGCAGCAGUAGGGAAUCUUCGGCAAUGGACGAGAGUCUGAACGAGCAACGCCGCGUGAGUUGAGAAGGUUUUCGGAUCGUAAAACUCUGUUGGUAGAGAAGAAAGUUGGUGAGAGUAGAAAGCUCAUCAAGUGACGGUAACUACCCAGAAAGGGACGGCUAACUACGUG